CUAGUGUUAAUCUCGCACUUGGAGCACCCAUACGAGUACGUCCUCGGUUACUCACCACAACUGCUUCGGGAAGGUCUGAGAUUAAGCUGUCCUGCCGUUUGGUGGGAAAUGCCUCAGCAAGGCGCUUUCUUGAACGAAGGGUUUCGUUACCAGAAAAAGUACUGUGAGUACAUUUAGCUGCUUUCAGGUGGUCCCACUGCACCGCACUCCCAAAUUGCAUACUCGGUUGUGGCAGAUGGAUUGUCAAGAAUGCAACAGCUGUUUUCUUGGUUGUUAUAUUAUUUACCGGGAUCUCGUUCUCGGUGAAUAAUAGUAAUUACCGAGACUCGUUGAAGUUUGGGCCGUAAUGGGUAAACUAUUACAUUGCUUCAACUUCGAAUCUCAGCUAUUGGAUUUUCGGCAAUCUGUUCACCACAGUCUAAGAUGGAAUUUAGGAGUGAUUCAGUUGCGAAUAUGCUGUUCAAAAGGUUUUCUUAUUGGAGAGCUUCUUCGCCACGGAUAUUGGUUGUCAAACCAAGUGUGGAACGACCAUCAGCCUUCCGGUCAGGCUUGCGUAGGUUAGUCCACGGACUGGCUUGUUCAUGCCGUGGCUGAAUGGCGUUGGCCUGAAACUGAUAAUUGAGAAAGCGAACUGCUAGCAUUUUUAGUACAAUCUGCGAGCUAUAAGUCAUCCCUGGCUUGUAGAACUCAAUUCAGACUAGUCUAACACUAG
rnacentral:RNase_P_RNA from 2 species